ncrna:unclassified sequences Glutamine-II riboswitch (downstream peptide RNA)
GUCCGUUCAUCCUGCAAAGGACGCAUGACAACCUAAGCAUGGAACGGGGCUUAGG